AUUGAACGCUAGCGGCAGGCCUAACACAUGCAAGUCGAACGAGUGGCGGACGGGUGAGUGAUGUCUGGGAAACUCCCCGAUGGAGGGGGAUAACUACUGGAAACAGUAGCUAAUACCACCUACCGUCGGAUGGGCCCGGGUGGGAUUAGCUAGUAGGUGGGGUAACGGCUCACCUAGGCGACGAUCCCUAGCUGGGCUGAGCGGAUGACCAGCCACACGGGAACUGAGACACGGUCCAGACUCCGACGGGAGGCAGCAGUGGAGAAUAGUGUACAAUGGGAGCAAGCCUGAUACAGCCCUGCCGCGUAGAGGGAGAAGGCCUUCGGGUUGUAAAGUACUUUCAGUGAGGAGGCGUUACUCGAAGAAGAAGCACCGGCUAACUCCGUGCCAGCAGCCGCGGUAAUAC
rnacentral:rRNA from 1 species